rnacentral:misc_RNA from 1 species
CUGCCCAACACAGCGGCGUCGCGGUCGGCCCUUGCCGACCCGUCCGGAGCUCGCGUCGCGUCGACCGCCGAAGCUCCAUGUGUCGUCGUCCGUGCUCCCACUGGUGUUCAUCGUUGUGAGGUGAAGCCCGUCGCUUACCCCCCCCCUCUCCCAUGCCCUUCCCUGCGCUUGCCAUGGUCGGCCCCGAUCGAGCCCAUUGCGGUGGCGAGGCUCCGCUGUCGAGCCCCUCGCACGCCGCCAUAUGUCCAACCGUCGCUGCGCCUCCGAUCCACCAACGCCAAGCCCCCGCUCUCCUGCUCGUCGUUACCCUCCCCGUCCCUCGGCCAGCGAAGUUGUCCCUGCGCUAAGCCUCGACGUCGCCGGUUCGGAGUGGUCGUUGCGCAACCUGCGCACCCUCGAUCCAACUCUUGUACGCGUCGUUCGUUGUUCGUCGUCUAG